AUUGAACGCUGGCGGCAGGCCUAACACAUGCAAGUCGAACGAGUGGCGGACGGGUGAGUAAUGUCUGUGACACUGCCUGAUGGAGGGGGAUAACUACUGGAAACGUUAGCUAAUACCGCAUACCAUCAGAUGUGCCCAGAUGGGAUUAGCUUGGUGGUGGGGUAACGGCGCACCAAGGCGACGAUCCCUACCUGGUCUGAGAGGAUGACCAGCCAGACUGGGACUGUGACACGGUCCAGACGCCUACGGGAGGCAGCAGUGGGGAAUCUUGCACAAUGGGCGCAAGCCUGAGGCCGCCAUGCCGCGUGUAUGAAGAAGGCCUUCGGGUUGUAAAGUACUGUCAGCGGGGAGGCGUUACCCGCAGAAGAAGCAACGGCUAACUCCGUGCCAGCAGCCGCGGUAAUAC
rnacentral:rRNA from 1 species